UCUUCAUUUCACGUGCUCUCUCACCGGUCAGAGAUGCGGCGAGAGAGUGUGCGAAAUGAAGAGA
rnacentral:pre_miRNA from 1 species